GUCUAGCUAAAUUUAGCGUUGCUAGGAUGUGUAGUUAGUAGUUAAUAGGGGUUCGGUAGUUAAUUCGUGCUUAAUAGUUUUCAACCACCAGUUUUAAAUAAAUACGUUUUCAAAUAAUUCGUCACGAGAGUGAGGAUUGUUUUAAAGGCAAUAAACCAACAUUGACGAGAGUUNNNNNNNNNAAGGUACUUAUAUAGGUAAGUGAGCGCGUGAGAGCAGAGCAUUUAUUUUAUCUAAGUAUAACGCUAGUCAAGAUUUGCGAGAGCUGAGAUUAGUGUUUUUAAAUCAAAUAUAAUUCUUGAAAACUGACAACAGUUUUAUUUUCUUAAGCAGUUUUUAAUUAAACGUUGAUUAUAAUUCGUCACGAGAGUGAGAAUUAAUUAAAGUAAAAAUCAAUAGAGCGAGAGCGUGAGAUUUCUACUAGAUAGUAAAAACUGAACAUUAACUCUGAUUCGCAACGAGAGUUGGGAUUAGAGUUAAUUAAAUUAUAUUGUUUUUCAAAGAGUAUUUUAUUAGCGGGUGCGAGGACGAGAGUUAAACACCACCUUUAUAAUUUAU
rnacentral:lncRNA from 1 species